AUCAGUCUUUAGAUAUGCACACAUGCAGUUGCCUCUCAGUAAAAGAUUUCACCACCAUGACUCAAAUGAAAUACAUAGCUAUUCAUUUUGAAAGGGGAAUGUACUGACUUUGUCUGGGAUGAAGUGAGUAUGCUGGGGUCACACAAGAGUUGGGGAGAGACACAGCCAGGAGACCUGAUCCAAAAUGACCAAAGGGAUGUUCCAUGCCAUGAAACCUCAG